CGCUUGCAAUUUUGCUUAUCCUUGCCCAAUUUAUGCAAGGAGUUACAAGUAAAAUAUCCUUCCCUGUUUAUGUAGUUUAAUUUCAUAUGUGGCUUUUGUGUGUGUUAUUUUAAUUUUCUCUUACUUAGGAGAUCCAAAAGUAUUUCCUUUGAGUCACAUGUUUUCCAUGUUUGAAAUUCUUUAGACCAGAUCAUGAUAAUUGUGCAAACUAGGAGACGGAUACAGGCUUGGUAUUAUUUUUCUUUGCUCUUUCAUCUAAUAGUUUAUAUUUCUUUUCCUCUUUCAUCUAAUAGGUAUCCCUGUGAAAUAUCUUUUUCUAGGCGUCAAGCAGUUCAGAUCUUUUACGGCACAUGAUUGACAUAUGGAAUUUCAUCUAUAUGUGAUAAAGAAUGUAGUGGCUCUUCUAAUAUCAACCAUCCGAGGAGAAGAUAAUAUUAGCCACUUUCAUUUGUUCUCAAGUGAUGCAUAUGGUGCUUUAGUACUAUAUCAGGGCCUAAGAAUGCAAUUCACGUGUAUCAAUAUAACUUGGCUAUUGCACCAAAGAGUAGCGGCUGCGGGUUCCUUAUAUAUAAAAGUUUGCAAUCAAACUAGCUUCCACGCACAGUUUGUGAAUCGGAUCUUCACUUUGCUGAGAAUGUUACUCAACAACAAGAUCAUGCUACCUUUUCGCCCCUCUUCUGAAGUGAAAAGGAAAGAAGAGGUUUCAGGCUUUUAGCAAGAGCUGAUAUUGUUAUAGAGGAAAGGAAUUAGCCAUCAUUCUUCUUCAUCAUUCAUUAUGACAAUUGCAAAUAAAAUCCAUCUACAAAAGUUGCAUUUAAGGAAGAAAUGACGAAGAUGAAAAGUACCAUAACUUUCAAAGACCCAUAUCGUCUAUAUUCCAACCGAUCUCUCACCAUUUCGGCACCCGAUAUGUUCUUUGGAUGUGUGGCAGAACCAACCUAUCUUGAAUACUUUCUAAAGAUAAGUAUUUCUUAGCUUAAUAAUUCAUAUCAUGAAUGGAUAGUCAUGUGCUCUAUCACCUUCCAUACAACUAUGUUGAGUAGAUGAUACUUUUUGACUUAACAUUCUUUUAGCAGCACAUUUGUCACAGUUACUUAGUUGUGCAUGAUAUAUCGUAGAUUGUUAAGUUCAAGUUGCUGGCUUCGUAUGAUAUCGCGAGUAAAAGAACUUAUAUCUUGUAGUUUACCUUUUUUGUAUUCAUUUGGCUGUCUCAUGGAGAUGCUAUACUCAGCAUUCAAUGUUGUUUUCCAAACGUCACUCUUUAGACACUUUCCUAUUGGAGGCUUGGAGCUCUAGACAAGGAAUUUUUAAUGAUAAGAAAAGCAAGCUUGUAAAAAUCAUAGAUCCUCACAGAAGACAUGUUAGAAAAUACUCUGGAGUUUAAAAAAAAAAUGUUACAAAAUACUAACCCUAAAGAACAAAUACCUGAAUUUGAAGACCAAUAUAAUAGCUGCUUGGUAGGUCAUUUACCCUUUGGCAUAGGCUUUUUGUAAAAUGUUUUAUGUAUUGGAGCUUAUAAUUCCUUAGGCCUACUGAUAUUUCUAUGCAGAUUUGUUAGUUUUAGAGUAGGAAAAGGAAACAUGAGUUUGAUACAUGUGGACUAAUUUGAGUUGAUGGUAAUUUAAUUUAUCAAGUUUAUGACAAAAUUAUGUAUUUGUUAGUUCAAUGGAAUUGUGGUUGACUUGCUUCGCUAUCUAGCAGAUAUUGUUUUUUCCUGUGUGGCGAAUUCGAGAAUUGCACGGAGAAAAAAACCCAAAAAAUAGCUUUGAAACAGAAACAGAAGCAAAGCGUGAGAAGGAGAAAAUUGAAAUGGUUGCUUUAGAAGAGGAAGAGAAUGUUGGAUUGCAACUUCAAGAUUGAUCAUUUGCAGGGCAAUGUCCUACCCAAUUUAUAUAGAACCUGAAUGUCAUUUCUCACAUAACAUGCUACUUUCUUCUGUAAUUAAGCUACAUUGAACCAAUUUAAUGAAUGCACUAGCUUAUUUGCAAA